AUGGACCACGUGUACGCUCAGGUUCCUCCGCGCCGUCCACACCGAUCUGACGACUGCUCGCUACGUGUUGUUAGCC
rnacentral:sRNA from 1 species